AAACUCUGCGCUGCCGUCCAGGAAGAGAAGUGAGUGAGUAAGUCGGCUGCAAUAUUUAACAGUGCCUCCGGCCCCGCCGCCCGCAGACCGCCUCGACGGGAGCCGGAGCUCGAGAAAGCCCCACAGCAGCAGUAUCCUCCUGGGCACCUGAUUGUCCACAGUGUCUCUUGACUCACCAGCAUUUUGGGCUGAGAUGGAGACACAGCUGGCUGGAGCCAGGGAAGCUGACUCGCACUGGCUGCUUGGCUCUGAGAACUGAAUUCCAUAGGCGUUAAAGCCUCCAAAAUGCCCUAUGGAUUCAGUUCUGCAGCUGGGCAGCAACUGAGCCUCAAACCUUCAGGAAGAAAAGGCAACUGUGAGCUCUUCCUACAAGGAAUAUGUAAAUCUUUGCUCCUGCAGAGACCAGAUUCGGGGUGGAGGGGAGUAUGGCCACCACAGAAAUAUCUGCUAUCAGAGAGCUACUAGAGGUUUGUAGCACAUCUUCCCCUAAGGGAGAAAAAAACCCAACUAUAGAUUGUUUUCUUCCUUCUGGAAGUUAAAUGGCAUUUUAGAAAAUAAAUACAUUACUACCUACUGAUGUACUGCAAG